rnacentral:misc_RNA from 1 species
GAUCAUUCAUUCGUUUGAUUUGUUGUUGACCUCUUUUGGAUCGACAUUGGGCUUUUAUCAUUAAUCGUCUUGAAUUCAUGCACGGAUUGUUCGUGAUAAGGGGAGUGCACUGUUGUUGGUGCACUUGUUAUAUCCAUCGAUCAAUCCAUCCACCCUUUAUUAAUGAUCUCAAAUCAGGCAAGAUUACCCGCUGAACUUAA